ensembl:misc_RNA Metazoa_SRP Metazoan signal recognition particle RNA
GCUGGGUGUGGUGGCACAUGCCUGUAGUUUCAGCUACUCAGGAGGCCGAGACAGGAGGAUCACUGUGAGUUCAGCUGUUCUGGGCUGUAGUGUGCUACACCGAUCGGUUGUCUACACUAAGUUCAUCAUCAAUAUGAUAACCUCUCGGUAGCAAGGGACAACCAGGUUGCCUAAAAAUGGGUGAAUCCGUUCAGGUAGGAAAUAGAGCAGGUCAAAACUCCAAUGCUAAUCAGUAGUGGGAUCGCACCUGUGAGUAGCCAUCACACUCCAGCCUGGGCAACAAUAUGAGAACCAGUCUCAA